rnacentral:rRNA from 1 species
UGGGGAAUUUUGGACAAUGGGCGAAAGCCUGAUCCAGCAAUGCCGCGUGUGUGAAGAAGGCCUUCGGGUUGUAAAGCACUUUUGUCCGGAAAGAAAUCCUCUGGGUUAAUACCUCGGGGGGAUGACGGUACCGGAAGAAUAAGCACCGGCUAACUACGUGCCAGCAGCCGCGGUAAUACGUAGGGUGCAAGCGUUAAUCGGAAUUACUGGGCGUAAAGCGUGCGCAGGCGGUUUUGUAAGACGGAUGUGAAAUCCCCCGGGGCUUAACCUGGGAACUGCAUUCGUGACUGCAAGGCUAGAGUAUGGCAAGAGGGGGGUUAGAAUUCCACGUGUGAGCAGUGAAAUGCGUAGAGAUGUGGAGGAAUACCGAUGGCGAAGGCAGCCCCCUGGGCCAAUACUGACGCUCAUGCACGAAAGCGUGGGGAGCAAACAGGAUUAGAUACCCUGGUAGUCCACGCCCUAAACGAUGUC